GUUUGGUCAGAUCAGAGUUCAACUGGGAUUAAAAUUUAGUGUAUUCUGAGUCAUUUCUAAAGAAGAGUCAGUACCCUUUAAGAACUGCUGCUACCAGAAGAGAGACAACCAGCCAGAUUUUAAGUAUCAAAGAUUAUAAUUGCACAUUGUUGAGAAGUAUGGAACAAAAUACAAUGAUUGCAGGACAACUGUUUUACAAAAUUGUGUUGGCCUCUGCUCUCGUCAACAUGAAGGAGCCACAGGAGAGCAAUGCGGUUCAUGGCCCAAUGGCAUCAGAAGCAUUACCUGGGCAUACAUUUAAAGCUCAGGCAGAUGAGCUCCAUGCGUCUGGGUCAGCAGCUCCUUGCUGUGUAUUGUAAAAAGCUUCUACGAGUUUCCAGUUUGACUGAGGUGCACACUCAAGAAUGAGAAGCCCUGUGGCUGAGAUGAGAAAUGCCACACAGUGGGCAGCGGUCCCAGACCUCCAUGGGCUGGUCAAGGACACAGCCAGAGGGGGUCUGCAGCAUCUCCUCUCGGGGCACUGCACGAACCCCUGCCCGUCAGGGUCCCCCCGGGAGCCUGGUGAGAUCAUACCUCAUAUAAGUGACUUCUUCAGUUUAUUUUCUUCUGUUACAAUCACAAUACAGUGUAAUGUGAAAUAGAAAGUAUCUCAUAAGUACGUCAUUUUAGACGUCAUGACUUAUUUCUCUACAUUCAAAAUAAGCUCAAUAAAUACUGGUUUGAAGGAACUAACAGUAUUAGAGAAAAAGAUGGAAGAAAAAGAAGAUGCUUGGUUAAAAAACAAUAUAAUGUAAAGGAUGGAAAACUAUUUUAUAUUCAAAUAAGAACCAGUUAAUAAAUAGAAAAAAAAUUCAUUCAAAUGUAUAACAAAGAAAUCAAACCAAAAAAAAAGUAAUAAUCUAAGAUAAAAAAUGUUCAGACCUUAUGUGAAGAAAAAGUCAACAUUCUGGUAAUAAGUAUAAAAAAUGAUUAAUAGAAGGAUAUCUUAUUCUUAGUAAGAUACAACAUUAAAAACAUUUAUAAGUUUUAUAAAUUGGUGACAUUUAUAAGUCACCAUUCCUAAUAAAAACUGCAACUAGGUCUCCACUUCUUUUUUAUCUUUCCAAGAAAUAAUAGUCAAAUAUAUAUAACAUAAAAUUCACCAGUUUAACCAUUUUUAAGUAUAGGUUCAGUGGCAUUAGGUACAUUUAUAGUUUUCUGCAACCAUCAUCACCAUCCACCUUCAGAACUUUUGUUUUCUCAAACUGAAAUGUAUUAAACACAAUUCUCCAUUUUUCUGCACCCUCCAACCCCCAGCAUCUCCCAUUAUACUUUCUCUCUUUAUUAAUUUGACUUACUCUAGGUAUCUCAAUGAAGUGGAAUCAUACAAUUUUGUCAUUUUGCCACUGGCUUAUUCCAUUUA